UCAUGGAAUACAUUGCAAGAUGGUAAAUUAAAAAAAAAAAAAACAACUCACACAGCAACAGUUGGCCUACUUGGCUUGUGCACUGUGAUGUACUCCUAGCUUUGUUUCAUCUCUGUUACAGUACAUGAGAAUAUUCUGGGCUGGUAACCCUCCCACUCCUAAUGAAGGGGCCUAUGUUACCAUCUCCAUGAAUUCCUGUCUAAAUUCUACCUCCUGCAAAGUAAAAAAAGCAUCGCAUAUAACAAUUUAUAUUUGGUUCAGUGUUUAAAGAGCUUUUCAUAAAGCUUAAAUGCUUGUUUCAGUUUAUACCAAGACCAAAGGGAUAAUUUAUUAAAACAAAUAAACAUCUAAGUUUGUGCUUUGCUAGUGCAAAAGAAGCUAAUUAGAAAAUGACAACGUCAAAGUAACCUUCUCUUGCAAGCAAAUACAAUUAAAACACAUUUCCAGAUGUUAUAUAGAGGGUUUUUUAAUGCGUUGUUAUUUUUGAUUUUGCAAACAAACUGUUGGUCUGCAUACAAAUGGAUAUUUGAUGACAUUUUAAAAUUUUACAUAUUCAAUAGAUUAGUCACUGUCUUUAUGUACAACAGUGUAUCCCCUCAUGAUAUAUUUGAAAGUAAGGAAAGAAAGAGAAGGAGAAGCAGCACUUCUGGAAAUAACAGUUGCCUGACUUAACUGCCUAACAUACUUUUGAAAGCAAGAACUGAAUGCUUUCAGGGAUGUCACCCCAGAUCAAACACCAACCCUUUUAGGCUUCUUCAUAGAUUAUGUAGCUGAUUCCUGAUUGUGAAAUUGUUUUAAGGUUUAUUUUUCCUUCUGCAAAGAACAUCUGGAUUGGAUAAAUUUUUUGUUCGGUUUGUGUUGAAAGUUUACAUUCCAGGAAACGGUUAUAUCAUCAUUUUGGAAGAAAAUGCCAAGUCUGAAUAAUUUCAGUUACAGAUUUUUUCCUAGGGAACCAGAAAACUAUUUAGGUACUAAUUUCAACUAAUUUGGUACCAGCCAGUAAGGAACAGAAAUACACUGUUUUAUUAGUAUAGAAGACUAAUGAUUGGUUAGUUGCCUUUGAGAAAUUGUUUAUCUGUAUCAGUGAUGAUUUGUUAAUAGGUCUGACUCAAACCAAGAGGUGCUAAAUAACCAGGCAUACAGAAAAGCUUUGCCCAAUCAAACAAAUUCAGAUCAUACCCUCUUACUAAUUAUUCAGUAUGCACAAGUUGAGACUUUAUGUUGUUCUAUUCUUACUGAAGGUUAGAAGAAGAGAGGAGAAAGGGCCUUUACUGGUGCAGGGGGAUGCUGAAGAGUGCCUGCAAGUGAAUCAUCUGGGCUAGACUGGUUCAGGCAACAUUCUCGGAUCGCCUCAGAAACAACGGGGAAAAUACAUCACGGUGAUGGGACAGCCUGAGGGAAGUGAGGCUGCUGCAGCUCCACUCCCCAGAUCCAACCUGUAGCGAGGCUGAAGAUGCAUUCCUGAGAGGGACAGAGCCUGGAAGCUGCUCAACUAACAGUCUCUUUACAACUGAGAAAACACAAAGUGGACUUUCGGGAAUCUGAAAAGAGCAGUUAGAAAAUUCCAAGCCAGGAUUUUUAUCCCACCACCAAUUUGCCGCACAGCACUUUAUCCAACUGCAAAUCCGGUUACAGCUGAAAAAGCUAUCAAAAGUACCAUUAUCCAUUACCAGCUGAACACUGUCAACAGGAUUCAUACAUCAUGCAGGAAAAUGAGAGUGAUAGGGACAGUAAUUCCAUGUGACAGGUAUGUUUCUCUAACAAGAAUUUUUGCUUAAAAACAGAAAGAUGGUUGAGCGGUGUUACUGUCAGGAUAAAUUUUCCCUUUCAAAUUCAAUAGCAGCAACAAGAAAAACUAUUAAGGUUAAAAAGCUAUUUGAAGA